rnacentral:lncRNA from 1 species
GCCACUGUCAUAUUCGAAGUAACCUUAUAUUUGUCUGAGAAAAGCAUCGAGUCGUGUGUCAGAAGCUUGCUGGCCCAGUUCUUUGUGUCGGGACAAAGCAGUGAUGAUUCGAUUUAUUCUGUUGUACAGUACGCUGCAUCUUUUUCUGGUGUUUCAGAACGUGCCUGGUCAGUCAGUCAGUACCUACAGCGUUAAUACCACUGAUGGAGAAAAAUGCACUUACAACGGCAGUGACUAUGGGCCAGGAGAAAACAGCACGCCUGGUUUCUGUGGCCUGACAAGCUGUGACCCAAAAGAAAACGAGCUGACGAUCGUCACGUGUUCAUAUUCUACACCUCCGCCGCCAUGUGUGUUGCUACCGCCCACUGGCAACGAAUACCCAUCCUGCUGUCCUGAUUAUGUAUGUUGACAUAAUGAACCAUCAUUACAUAUAUGAAAGACUGGGUCGGUGAACACAGUGAGACAUGGGCGACAAGUGGAUCAUAUCAAUGAAAAUAUCUUCCAGAGCGAU